UUAUUGCAGGUGGAGACAUGGGAUAGUAAAGCAAGUUCAAUAAUAGUGAUUUUCAUUUUGUUCUGUUUUUGAAUAUUUGAAGUCUAUAAUUUGUUGCAAAACUAAUAGUUGCCUCUAUUCAUAAUACUGCAGUUAUUCCAGCUGGUGAACAAAGUGAAGUAUUAGGGAUACAAUGACAUUCCACCUAUAAGGGAAGAUGGAAGGCAUCUAUGAUCGACAACCAAGGAUGGAAGAAACAAUUCCAAAUGAUAUUGGAGAAAGGAAAUCUUAUGUUAAGAAGAGAUUGCGAGUGGAUUUAUUGGUCUUUCACAUGGACCUGUUGGAUUUGACAAAUUUGUUUAUGGUAUCGGUCAUGUGACAAUUAUGAUGGUGCUACUAAACUGAAAAUAUCCGAAGUUGAACAUCCGCCUGCUAAGAUAAGAGUUGGCUGAGCUUUAAGAUCGAAAAUCUGGGGAUGAGACUUCUUCUGUUGUAAUUGUUGCUGCAGAGUCGCCCAAGAUAACAACUUUUUGUUUGAUAACGGUGGCUGGUAUCCGCCUACUGUGACAUCUUCUAUUAUGGACAUUGCUGGAUUCCUUUGUAUGUAUAUUUUGACUAUAUUUCAAACUGUUGCAGGGCUAGUAUGGAUGUCAAAAAAAUUUUGUUUAAGGGUACAUGGUACCUACUAUGUUUCCCAUCUUAACUAUUACUUCUGAACUAAUUUAGUCAAGUUGUGAACUUCCUACAUGGACAUUAUUUUGCUUGUUCUUGUUGUUCACCAGAAUAUGACAUCAACCCAAAAAUUUGUACUGGUUCUAAUUUAAGGCUUGAUAAUUAGUUGAGCAUGUUAAAAAGAAAUGUAGUUUGAAUGGUAGUUACUGGUGUUGGUUGACUAUUUUUAGUGUUUGUAUUUGCCUUUUCUUAUUAAAAAUGUGGUUUCCAACUCUUUCCCUUGCUGUGUUGCUUGUACUUCACGCCUCGUUUACACUCACCUAAUAGCUAAUGAUAUACAGUGACAAACUAGAAAUUCUAAAGGGUCUGAAUUCUGAAAGUUGGAUUUCUUGUUAUUUUGUUACUCAGGAUUUGGGAAAAUGUCAUGUGGCUGGGGAUCCACUUAUAUUAUGGCUGUGAAAAAUAAAAUAAGGAGUGGGAUCAUGCUAUCACAUUUUGCAUUAGAACAACAAUUACAUACAACAAGGCAAGGCAAGAUCUAAGCCAUGCUCUCUACCAGAUACUACACAGACCCAUAUGGCACAUUUUGCAAUGUCAUAUAAAAGCAAUCGGAUCAGGUUCUGAGGGAGCUGACAGCUAUUUGUAGGAUCAAUUCAACAAGAUAUCUUUAUCACGUUGCAAACUUCUCAAUGAGCCGACAGCUCUUUGCAGAAGAUAAUUCAACAAGGUCGUUGGACCCAAUAAUUGGUGAAAUAAGCUUGUGGGUCUAUAUCAUUCUCUAACUCCCGUGUUGCAUUUUGUUGUGUUCCUAGAUUUUCUAUGGCCAAGUCAAUUAUAUUAUUCAACUAGCUAAAUGUCGUUGAACUCUUACGAAAUCACAUGAUUAUUGGUAUAGCUAAAUGUUUUUUUAAGUUACCCCACUUCAACAAAUGCACUAGCUGCAUACUUGUAUUCUUUAUUUUCCCUCGCAUCAUGCAGUUUCCCUGUUUUCGCAAGAAAUAUAUAUUUAUGUAAUCUUCUGUUUAAGUUUUCUUUUAUGUACUUCCAUUUUUGUUGUUUAAUUAGGUACAAAGAUCUUGUAUAUGGUGGUAAGUAUAUUACUACCUCAGGACAGACAUUAUCUUGGGAGCUUGUCUAUAAUACAUUUUCUUGGGGCCGGUAUUUGAAUUCACUUCAGUCGAGAUGUUAAUGUAGUUCAGAUUUGAAGCGAGUAGGGAGACAAACAUGUCGAUCUAGAGUUUGUGAGGCGGCUUCAGCAAGGAAACAUUGAAGCCUACAUGGUCAUCUUGAUUAGUUUGCACUCAUUGUAAGAAAGCAUCAUCAUUCUUACUUUGUUAGGAGUUUUGCUUGUUUUUUUCCCAAGUGUAAACUGGAUUCAAAUGUUAAUAAAGAGUUACAUCUUUUUUUUUGUAAUUUUGAACCUAGUGAAUCAAUGAAUGUGAAAUGGAAGGAUUAUUUGGAUGUAUGAGUGCAGGUUUGAUUUGAAUUCUCAU